rnacentral:lncRNA from 1 species
CAAGUGCAAGUUAAACAAGCCCUGCCUUCAGGGAAACACAAUUAACCACAAGAGUUAUUUAUGCACAAGGUACUCUGCUGUAGAGAGGGUUGCUUACUAACACAGCCAGGGAGGACUGGGGAAGGAUUCCAGCUGCCUGAGCUAAGCCAGGAAGGGAAAAUUGGAGUUAGCAAGGCAAGGAAGGUCAUUCCAGGCAGUGGAAACAGAAUGAGCAAAGGCAAGAGAAAAGGCUAUUUGCUUUUGAGCUACUCCGGGAGAGGAGCAGAGUCGGUUUGAGUUGCAUGACUGACAUCUUCUGGCUACAGUGGAUAUUACAGAAAGACUGAAACUCCGCAAAAGUGUGUUUGAAAAAAAGAAAAGCACCCUGGAAUUUGGAUCAUUAAGACUCUAGACAUGUGACCUGGAGAUGCAGCAUCCAUCUUGUGACCAUGAAGCAAUAGGGAUAAGGGUAAAAGUCUACACAUUGCAGAUUGCAGAUAAAAACAUGAAAAGAUCCUGGCUGCCUGAUGACACUACAGGUUAAUAAAAAAUACCUCAGAGAUUCAAAUCUAAACAAAAUGCUAAGUCACAUUCAUCUACAUUCACAAUUAAAACAAUUGAGUGAUUUGGGUACAGAUGAUGAGGGAGAGGAUGGAACUCAUAAAAUGUGGUUUUCUUAUUUGAGUGGGCUGCUUGUUAUGGCAUUAAGGCACAGGCACCAUAUAUUAUUGUGUUUGAUUAUUUACUUACAACCUUCUAUCCUAUCAGGUAGUAAAUGUGUUGGGGCAAGGGCCUUUUUCUGUGUUAUUCACCAUUGUUUCCCUUAUAUCCAGCACUAUGAGGUUAAGCACCAAAAAAAGCUACUCAAUAAAUAUUUGUUAAAAAAUGGAAAAAAGAUAAUACAUAUAAUUUAGGACACAGUUUAUCAUGGCUGUGAUAAUGGGAAGUGUGGAACUAACACUAAUGUAAUCAUCCAUCAGGUUCUUCCUACCUGCCCCACAGACAAAAUCAUUUUACUGAGACCACAGCAUUGCAGUAAAGAAAGAGUUUAAUUGAUGCAAGACUGGCCAUGCCAUACGGAAGAGAGUUAUUACUAAAAUCAGUUGCCCUAAAAACUUGGAGGUUAGGGGUUUUCAAGGACAGUUUGGUGAGCAGGGGACUAGGAAAUAGGUGCUGCUGAUUGGUUGGAGAAGCCGUCACAGGAGAGUGGAACAUGGUCCUUGUGUACUGAGUCCACCUCUGGGUGGGGGGUGGGGACCACAGGACUGGUUGAUUCAUGAGUCAAGAGUCCAGAUGGAGUCAGUGGUGGUCAGAAGUGCAAAAGUCUGAAAAGAAAUCUCAAAGGGCUAAUCUUAAGUUCUACAAUAGUGAUGUUAUCUACAGGGCUAAUGAGGAAGUUACAAAUCUCAUGACCUCCAGAACAAAGGCUGAUAAUUGUUGAACUAUACUUACAUCUUAGCAGAAACCAGGCCCCUCUCAAAAUUCGAACCUAUGGAAUUUCAUAAAUUUUAUAAAGGUUGUUUAGUUUUGGGAAGGGCUAUUAUCAUUCUUGCUUUAAGUCUAGCCUACAAAGUAAAUUUCUCCCAAAGUUAGUUUGGCGUAUGGUGGGAAUGAUCAAGGAUAGCUUGGAGGUUAAAAGCAAGAUGGAGUCAACUAUGUCAGACUUCUCUUAUUAUCAUAAUUUUGCAAGGGCUGUUUCACUAGUAGUUAACACUAUCUAAGUAUAUGCCAUGUGCCAUAAAUUGUACUAAGAGCUUUACACACAUUAAUUAAUUUAUUUCAAAAACAAAAGAUUAAUAGAUAGUAUCGGCAUUAUAUCCAUUUUUAAG